rnacentral:rRNA from 1 species
GACGAACGCUGGCGGCGUGCCUAAUACAUGCAAGUAGAACGCUGAAGAGAGGAGCUUGCUCUUCUUGGAUGAGUUGCGAACGGGUGAGUAACGCGUAGGUAACCUGCCUUGUAGCGGGGGAUAACUAUUGGAAACGAUAGCUAAUACCGCAUAACAAUGGAUGACACAUGUCAUUUAUUUGAAAGGGGCAAUUGCUCCACUACAAGAUGGACCUGCGUUGUAUUAGCUAGUAGGUGAGGUAAUGGCUCACCUAGGCGACGAUACAUAGCCGACCUGAGAGGGUGAUCGGCCACACUGGGACUGAGACACGGCACAGACUCCUACGGGAGGCAGCAGUAGGGAAUCUUCGGCAAUGGGGGCAACCCUGACCGAGCAACGCCGCGUGAGUGAAGAAGGUUUUCGGAUCGUAAAGCUCUGUUGUAGGUCAAGAACGGGUGUGAGAGUGGAAAGUUCACACUGUGACGGUAGCUUACCAGAAAGGGACGGCUAACUACGUG